rnacentral:rRNA from 1 species
CCUACGGGAGGCAGCAGUGAGGAAUAUUGGACAAUGGGCGCAAGCCUGAUCCAGCCAUGCCGCGUGCAGGAAGACGGUCCUAUGGAUUGUAAACUGCUUUUAUACAGGAAGAAACACCUCUACGUGUAGAGACUUGACGGUACUGUAUGAAUAAGCAUCGGCUAACUCCGUGCCAGCAGCCGCGGUAAUACGGAGGAUGCAAGCGUUAUCCGGAAUCAUUGGGUUUAAAGGGUCCGUAGGCGGUUUAAUAAGUCAGUGGUGAAAGCCCAUCGCUCAACGAUGGAACGGCCAUUGAUACUGUUAAACUUGAAUUAUUAGGAAGUAACUAGAAUAUGUAGUGUAGCGGUGAAAUGCUUAGAGAUUACAUGGAAUACCAAUUGCGAAGGCAGGUUACUACUAAUAUAUUGACGCUGAUGGACGAAAGCGUGGGGAGCGAACAGGAUUAGAUACCCUGGUAGUCCACGCCGUAAACGAUGGAUACUAGCUGUUCGGAGCAAUCUGAGUGGCUAAGCGAAAGUGAUAAGUAUCCCACUGGGGAGUACGUUCGCAAGAAGAGAAGUACAAAGAAAGUAGAGACGUGAGAGAGACGACGGACGACGACGAGGGAGGAGG